GAAAAAAUCCCCACCACCGCCAAACACGUAAAAACAGUUUUUCCCAUCAAGUUUCACUCAUUCAUUGAAAACCCUAGAAGAUUUAAAUUCCAUUAUUUCAUACCUCUAGCAAGAUUUAGGGAGCACUUCACCCCAGCUAAAGGAAAUAAUGUAAUAGGCCAUCUCAGAAGUUUUCGGCCGAAUUAAGCCCGAUCCUAAUCCAACCCAACCCAACCCAAUUUGAUUCAAAGGAUUGCAGCAGCCCAGAUUUAUCCAACACAGACAAAGGCAGAAGGAGAGGGAGCUUAGGCCUAGAAACAGCAAGAAAUAGACCGAUCGAUCCACAAUCAAAUCCCGGCGACCGUUAAGAAUUCAAUUGAGAAAUCGUGAGAUUUUGGCGAUGGACAGUAUCGUAGAUUCGUUAAACAACGCAUACCAAGAUUUCGUCGGUGCUGCAGCUAACGUGUUGGAAGCCAAGGAGUUAUCCGGCGGGCAGAAAACAGCGGCAACGGAUGUUGCGCUGGAGAAUUUUAAGCAGAAAUGGGAGUUAUUUAGAGUUUCAUGUGAUCAAGCGGAGGAGUUUGUGGAGUCCGUGAAGCAAAGGGUAGGGUCGGAGUGUUUGGUGGAUGAGGCUACUGGGUCCGUGAGUGGGAGGUCUGGGCAGGGUGGAAUGACAGGGCUUCCGCCUAUUAGUGCUGUUCGGUUGGAGCAGAUGAGUAAGGCUGUCAGAUGGCUUGUUAUUGAAUUGCAGCAUGGUUCGGGUGCUGCAGGUGGUGCGGCCGGGCAUGCUCACCCUUCUGCUCCUUUUGAUGCUAGGUUUUCUGAGGAUGCAGCUCAAUAGGUAUGUUUGUCUGCAAUAAUGUGAACUCUUUGAAUUGGUUUUAUUGAUGUUUUCGAGCUUGCUUGAUUACAGAGCAUGAUUAUUAGGACAUUGCUAGUAGUUUGUCAGGGUACAUAGCAACUGUCAGUGGCGUGGAGGAUAUUCGUUCUUUACCUUAUCAAAGGAUGUAUUCUUACAAGAUUUUUCUUCUAGUGAAUGCCACAAAUAAAGGGUUGGGAGCUGAUUGAGCUGCUAUGUGAUGUUUGAUUUGAAGGAAGUCUGUAACUGGAGGGGAAGGGAAAGUUCAAGUUUUCUUGUUUUUCUUUUCUCUGGCUAUUAAGAUUGUUUUUAUAGUGUAUUUGUUUGUUUUUUUCUUUCUUUUCUCGUUGUGAAGUUCAGGGAAAGAGUGGUUUUGGUUGAGUGAAGCUGCAGCUGCAGCUGCGAUGUUUUCUCAUGAACUAUAAAAGCUUCUAGCAUAACACGCAGGUACUAUUUUUUGCCUGCUUCGAUUAAGGGUGCUGAUGAUUGAGUGGUGAACAGUGAAGGAUGUGCUUAACUAGGGGGUCUGGUGGAGAAACCAGUCAUCACACGUUCCGAACAAAAAAAAAAAGAAUGAAAGAAUUUGUAUUUUUUGUUCUAUCAAUGAAUAGAAUGUAAAGACAAGUUAAGUAAGGGUUUACUAUUCCUCGUCUACAAA